rnacentral:rRNA from 1 species
GAUGAACGCUGGCGGCGUGCCUAAUACAUGCAAGUCGAGCGAACGGACGAGAAGCUUGCUUCUCUGAUGUUAGCGGCGGACGGGUGAGUAACACGUGGAUAACCUACCUAUAAGACUGGGAUAACUUCGGGAAACCGGAGCUAAUACCGGAUAAUAUUUUGAACCGCAUGGUUCAAAAGUAAAAGACGGUCUUGCUGUCACUUAUAGAUGGAUCCGCGCUGCAUUAGCUAGUUGGUAAGGUAACGGCUUACCAAGGCAACGAUGCAUAGCCGACCUGAGAGGGUGAUCGGCCACACUGGAACUGAGACACGGUCCAGACUCCUACGGGAGGCAGCAGUAGGGAAUCUUCCGCAAUGGGCGAAAGCCUGACGGAGCAACGCCGCGUGAGUGAUGAAGGUCUUCGGAUCGUAAAACUCUGUUAUUAGGGAAGAAUAUAUGUGUAAGUAACUGUGCACAUCUUGACGGUACCUAAUCAGAAAGCCACGGCUAACUACGUGCCAGCAGCCGCGGUAAUACGUAGGUGGCAAGCGUUAUCCGGAAUUAUUGGGCGUAAAGCGCGCGUAGGCGGUUUUUUAAGUCUGAUGUGAAAGCCCACGGCUCAACCGUGGAGGGUCAUUGGAAACUGGAAAACUUGAGUGCAGAAGAGGAAAGUGGAAUUCCAUGUGUAGCGGUGAAAUGCGCAGAGAUAUGGAGGAACACCAGUGGCGAAGGCGACUUUCUGGUCUGUAACUGACGCUGAUGUGCGAAAGCGUGGGGAUCAAACAGGAUUAGAUACCCUGGUAGUCCACGCCGUAAACGAUGAGUGCUAAGUGUUAGGGGGUUUCCGCCCCUUAGUGCUGCAGCUAACGCAUUAAGCACUCCGCCUGGGGAGUACGACCGCAAGGUUGAAACUCAAAGGAAUUGACGGGGACCCGCACAAGCGGUGGAGCAUGUGGUUUAAUUCGAAGCAACGCGAAGAACCUUACCAAAUCUUGACAUCCUUUGACAACUCUAGAGAUAGAGCCUUCCCCUUCGGGGGACAAAGUGACAGGUGGUGCAUGGUUGUCGUCAGCUCGUGUCGUGAGAUGUUGGGUUAAGUCCCGCAACGAGCGCAACCCUUAAGCUUAGUUGCCAUCAUUAAGUUGGGCACUCUAAGUUGACUGCCGGUGACAAACCGGAGGAAGGUGGGGAUGACGUCAAAUCAUCAUGCCCCUUAUGAUUUGGGCUACACACGUGCUACAAUGGACAAUACAAAGGGCAGCGAAACCGCGAGGUCAAGCAAAUCCCAUAAAGUUGUUCUCAGUUCGGAUUGUAGUCUGCAACUCGACUACAUGAAGCUGGAAUCGCUAGUAAUCGUAGAUCAGCAUGCUACGGUGAAUACGUUCCCGGGUCU